rnacentral:rRNA from 1 species
GACGAACGCUGGCGGCGUGCUUAACACAUGCAAGUCGAACGGAAAGGCCCUGCUUUUGUGGGGUUCUCGAGUGGCGAACGGGUGCGUAACACGUGAGUAACCUGCUCUUGACUUUGGGAUAACUUCAGGUAACUGGGGCUAAUACCGUAUAGGAUCUCCUGCUGCAUGGUGGGGGUUGGAAAUUUUCGGCGGUUGGGGAUGGACUCGCGGCUUAUCAGCUUGUUGGUGGGGUAGUGGAUUACCCAGGCUUUGGCGGGUAGCCGGCCUGAGAGGGUGACCGGCGACAUGGGGACUGAGAUACGGCGCAGACUCCUACGGGAGGCAGCAGUGGGGAAUAUUGCACAAUGGGCGGAAGCCUGAGGCAGCAACGCCGCGUGCGGGAUGACGGCCUUCGGGUUGUAAACCGCUUUCGCCUGUGACGAAGCGGGAGUGACGGUAAUGGGUAAAGAAGCACCGGCUAACUACGUG